UCGGGUUAUUCAGGAGUUCG
rnacentral:siRNA from 1 species